rnacentral:rRNA from 1 species
CCUACGGGAGGCAGCAGUGGGGAAUAUUGGACAAUGGGCGAAAGCCUGAUCCAGCAAUGCCGCGUGAGUGAUGAAGGCCUUCGGGUCGUAAAGCUCUUUUACCAGGGAUGAUAAUGACAGUACCUGGAGAAUAAGCUCCGGCUAACUCCGUGCCAGCAGCCGCGGUAAUACGGAGGGAGCUAGCGUUGUUCGGAAUUACUGGGCGUAAAGAGUACGUAGGCGGUUAUUCAAGUCAGAGGUGAAAGCCCGGGGCUCAACCCCGGAACUGCCUUUGAAACUAGAUAACUAGAGUCUUGGAGAGGUUAGUGGAAUUCCGAGUGUAGAGGUGAAAUUCGUAGAUAUUCGGAAGAACACCAGUGGCGAAGGCGGCUAACUGGACAAGUACUGACGCUGAGGUACGAAAGCGUGGGGAGCAAACAGGAUUAGAUACCCUGGUAGUCCACGCCGUAAACGAUGAUAACUAGUUGUUCGGUCACUUGGUGACUGAGUGACGCAGCUAACGCAUUAAGUUAUCCGCCUGGGGAUACGGUCGCAAGNUUAAAACUCAAAGGAAUUGACGGCNGAGANGCGAGCGACACGAGGAGAG